AGAUGGACAAAACAAAAUGGUUUGUUUGUGCAAUAACCUGAUGAUAACGUUUAGAUUGCGUUAAGCCGCAUCGUGUCUUCUCUAACACAAUCCCACAGUCAGUGCUAUUAUUAUGUAAACCAGGUGAGCAUUUUGGUGAGAGGUAUUCAGAUAGGACCAAGGUCAGAAGGAAGAGGAAGAAGCUUCACGUGCCACAUUGCCACAAUUUCCACACGUAGACUGAAAUUUUGGCACUGAGAACUGCUGUAGUUUGUUAAGGAAAGUAUUUACUCAUAAAGAAGUGAGAAGAUUAUUCCAGCCGUCCAAAGGUCUGAACGCGUUAUUCCGUCUUAAACAAAGCAAGACGACAAAGCAGUGCCUCGUAACAACCGUCUACGAUGAGAUUGGACGCGCUCCCAGAAAAGACAUCAGAUUCGUGUUCGCCAGCGCCCGCACCCAUGUCAACGUUGUCUUGCGUGUCGAAGUUUGUCGUAUAGUCAACUUGCAGGGUUGACAUUUGCUUUGGUUUGAAAUGUGUGCUUUGGGUUGUAAUAUUCUGCAUCAAAACGUGUAUCAAAUGAAGUGCAGCUUGUAACGAGUGGUUUUUUCAUGAAACU